rnacentral:rRNA from 1 species
UACGUAGGGUGCAAGCGUUAAUCGGAAUUACUGGGCGUAAAGCGUGCGCAGGCGGUUGUGCAAGACAGAUGUGAAAUCCCCGGGCUUAACCUGGGAAUGGCAUUUGUGACUGCACGGCUAGAGUGUGUCAGAGGGGGGUAGAAUUCCACGUAUAGCAGUGAAAUGCAUAGAUAUGUGGAGGAAUACCGAUGGCGAAGGCAGCCCCCUGGGAUAACACUGACGCUCAUGCACGAAAGCGUGGGGAGCAAACAGG